UUAACUCAAAUUUGUAUGGAGUUGGAUACGUUAGCCCGCGUUUGCUGCUAGGGGCGCUAUUUCAACUCUAUACAAAUUUGAGUUA
rfam:Bombyx mori DNA, contig: Bm_scaf35_contig20977, strain: p50T/Dazao, build 2, whole genome shotgun sequence.